rfam:Camelus ferus unplaced genomic scaffold scaffold256, whole genome shotgun sequence.
GAGUGUAUAGCUCAGUGGUAGAGCACAUGCUUAGCUUGUGUGAGGUCCUGGGUUCAGUCCCCAGUACCUCCA